rnacentral:lncRNA from 1 species
GUUCUAGAGACAUCUGGGACCUGUUUAAGUUAAUUGUUGAGUGCUUUGGAAGAACUGGUGUCACCUGCAUCUCGUGGAGGGUGGGCUGGAGCAGGUGGCCACCUAUUGAAAAAGGAGGGGUUUGGAGGAGUAGUGGUUUUGUGGGGGGAAGGAAGAAGCUGACCCAAACUGCUUUUUAAGACGUGUACUUCUCUAACGCUUCCCUUUGACAAUAGGAGAGAAAAUUUGAUGAACUGCCUGCUAGAAGGUGAAGGAUGUGUACUCGGCUGGAUGUCGCAAGCUGAUGCUGAGACUGUUACAGGAAUGGCAAAGUUACAAAAUGCUGUUCAUUGGACUUUUCUGAAACAAUAAAACAGAAAACAAAGCUGCCUGUUAAGUACAGUAAACACUGAGCACUUAACUAUUUUUCAUAUGUUAAUAUGCAGUUCAUAUCUGUUUAGCAAAACUGUCUUAACAGAUGUUCU